GUCCACGCUGUAAACGAUGUCAACUAGAUGUAGGGGGUGUUGAUCCCUUCUGUGUCGCAGCUAACGCAUUAAGUUGACCGCCUGGGGAGUACGGUCGCAAGAUUAAAACUCAAAGGAAUUGACGGGGGCCCGCACAAGCGGUGGAGUAUGUGGUUUAAUUCGAUGCAACGCGAAGAACCUUACCUGGUCUUGACAUCCCAGAAAUCCCUUGGAAACUUGGGAGUGCUUCCAUUAGGAAGAAUCUGGAGACAGGUGCUGCAUGGCUGUCGU
rnacentral:rRNA from 1 species